CCCUUAGAUGUUCUGGGCCGCACGCGCGCUACACUGACGAAUGCAACGAGCUUAUAACCUUGGCCGAAAGGUCUGGGUAAUCUCCAAAUUUCGUCGUGAUGGGGAUAGAUUAUUGCAAUUAUUAAUCUUCAACGAGGAAUGCCUAGUAAGCGCAAGUCAUCAGCUUGCGUUGAUUACGUCCCUGCCCUUUGUACACACCGCCCGUCGCCCCUACCGAUUGAAUGGUCCGGUGAAGCGUUCGGACCGUGGCCUUUGGACGGUUCGCCGUCUGUUGGCUGCGGGAAGUUCGUUAAACCUUAUCAUUUAGAGGAAGGAGAANUCGUANCA
rnacentral:rRNA from 1 species